rnacentral:rRNA from 1 species
AGUGAACGCUGGCGGUAGGCCUAACACAUGCAAGUCGAACGGCAGCACAGUAAGAGCUUGCUCUUACGGGUGGCGAGUGGCGGACGGGUGAGGAAUACAUCGGAAUCUACUUUUUCGUGGGGGAUAACGUAGGGAAACUUACGCUAAUACCGCAUACGACCUACGGGUGAAAGCAGGGGAUCUUCGGACCUUGCGCGAUUGAAUGAGCCGAUGUCGGAUUAGCUAGUUGGCGGGGUAAAGGCCCACCAAGGCGACGAUCCGUAGCUGGUCUGAGAGGAUGAUCAGCCACACUGGAACUGAGACACGGUCAAGACUCCUACGGGAGGCAGCAGUGGGGAAUAUUGGACAAUGGGCGCAAGCCUGAUACAGCCAUACCGCGUGGGUGAAGAAGGCCUUCGGGUUGGAAAGCCCUUUUGUUGGGAAAGAAAAGCAGCAGGUUAAUACCCCGCUGUUCUGACGGUACCCAAAGAAUAAGCACCGGCUAACUUCGUG